rnacentral:rRNA from 1 species
AGUGAACGCUGGCGGUAGGCCUAACACAUGCAAGUCGAACGGCAGCACAGUAAGAGCUUGCUCUUACGGGUGGCGAGUGGCGGACGGGUGAGGAAUACAUCGGAAUCUACUUUUUCGUGGGGGAUAACGUAGGGAAACUUACGCUAAUACCGCAUACGACCUACGGGUGAAAGCAUGGGAUCUUCGGACCUUGCGCGAUUGAAUGAGCCGAUGUCGGAUUAGCUAGUUGGCGGGGUAAAGGCCCACCAAGGCGACGAUCCGUAGCUGGUCUGAGAGGAUGAUCAGCCACACUGGAACUGAGACACGGUCCAGAGUCCUACGGGAGGCAGCGGUGGGGAAUAUUGGACAAGGGGCGCAAGCCUGAUCCAGCCAUACCGCGUGGGUGAAGAAGGCCUUCGGGUGGUAAAGCCCUUUUGUUGGGAAAGAAAAGCAGCAGGUUAAUACCCCGCUGUUCUGACGGUACCCAAAGAAUAAGCACCGGCUAACUUCGU